rnacentral:lncRNA from 1 species
UUUAUAUGCUUUUAUUUGCAUAAUUGAUGAAUAUAUGUGUCUUGGUAUAGAGUUAAGAGAAUGGUAGGAAUUAAUUAAAUUAAUUUUAAUUUAUUUGUUUUGAGAGGAAUGAUUUAAAAUAAGGUUAUUGGGACGAAAUUUAGAUUUAAAAUAAAAAUAAGAUAGUUGUAGAAAAAUAAGAGAAAUAGUAGAAUUUGGUGUAAAUUGAGUUAUUA